AAGGAUCCUUGACUUUGGGAUACAGCCAUUUAUAUACAGUCUAUGGCUACAGCUCAUGAGCUAAUGUUAAGACAGUUGGUAGAGCUAAACACCUGAAGUCACCAUCAUCAUUUACAAGCAACAUUCCGAAAAUGUUUUGGACCCAACAUAAGUAAUGUUUUAGGCAAAGAACUGGACUCCCCCUCAGACCUGCAGCCUGUGUCCCUGUGGAGGAGUGCUGUGGAUGUUUCUGGAGGACAGGGCUUUAAUGGACAGGUCAGAAUGUUCAGCAGAGUACACAACUGUGAUGACAGCCUCUCUCCACCCUCCA